GACGAACGCUGGCGGCGCGCCUAACACAUGCAAGUCGAACGGAGUCAAGAGGAGCUUGCUUUUCUUGACUUAGUGGCGAACGGGUGAGUAACGCGUGAGUAACCUGCCCUGGAGUGGGGGACAACAGUUGGAAACGACUGCUAAUACCGCAUAAGCCCACGGAUCUGCAUGGAUCUGCGGGAAAAGGAUUUAUUCGCUCUAGGAUGGACUCGCGUCCAAUUAGCUAGUUGGUGAGGUAACGGCCCACCAAGGCGACGAUUGGUAGCCGGACUGAGAGGUUGAACGGCCACAUUGGGACUGAGACACGGCCCAGACUCCUACGGGAGGCAGCAGUGGGGGAUAUUGCACAAUGGGGGAAACCCUGAUGCAGCGACGCCGCGUGGAGGAAGAAGGUUUUCGGAUUGUAAACUCCUGUCGUUAGGGACGACAAUGACGGUACCUAACAAGAAAGCACCGGCUAACUACGUG
rnacentral:rRNA from 1 species